CAGCUCUUGACUCUGGUCCCUGUCCACUGCCCUGCCGUCCCUCUCGUGGGGCCAGCCGCUGCUGCGGCCCCAGGAUGCAGAACGUGAUUAACACAGUGAAGGGAAAGGCGCUGGAAGUGGCCGAGUACCUGAUCCCGGUCCUCAAGGAAUCAAAAUUUAAGGAAACAGGUGUAAUCACCCCAGAAGAGUUUGUGGCAGCUGGAGAUCACUUAGCUCAUCACUGCCCAACAUGGCAAUGGGUUACAGGAGAAGAAUUAAAAGUGAAGGCAUACCUACCAACAGGCAAACAAUUUUUGGUAACCAAAAAUGUGCCAUGCUACAAACGCUGCAAACAGAUGGAGUAUUCAGAUGAAUUGGAAGCUAUCAUUGAAGAAGAUGAUGGUGAUGGAGGAUGGGUAGAUACAUACCACAACACAGGUAUUGCAGGAAUAACUGAAGCUGUGAAGGAGAUCACAUUGGAGAAUAAGGAUAGUAUAAAACUCCAAGAUUGCUCAGCACUGUGUGAAGAGGAAGAAGAGGAAGAUGGAGAAGCUGCAGACAUGGAAGAAUAUGAAGAAAGUGGAUUAUUGGAAACAGAUGAGGCUACUCUAGAUACAAGAACAAUAGUAGAAGCUUGUAAAGUUAAAACUGAUGCAGGAGGGGAAGAUGCUAUUUUACAGACCAGAAUUUAUGACCUGUAUAUUACUUACAAUAAAUAUUACCAGAUCCCACGACUAUGGCUGUUUGGCUAUGAUGAGCACAGCAGCCUUUAACAGUUGAGCACAUGUAUGAAGACAUCAGUCAAGAUCAUGUGAAGAAAACAGUGACCAUUGAGAAUCAUCCUCAUCUCCCACCACCUCCUCUGUGUUCUGUUCACCCAUGCAGGCACACUGAAGUGAUGAAGAAAAUCAUUGAGACAGUUGCAGAAGGAAGGGGAGAGCUUGGGGUUCAUAUGUAUCUUUUAAUUUUUUUGAAAUUUGUACAAGCUAUCAUUCCAACAAUAGAAUAUGACUACACAAGGCAUUUCACAAUGUAACGAAGAAA